rnacentral:rRNA from 1 species
CAGUAGCCACGGUAAUACGGAGGGUGCAAGCGUUAUCCGGAUUUAUUGGGUUUAAAGGGUCCGUAGGCGGAUCUGUAAGUCAGUGGUGAAAUCUUACAGCUUAACUGUGAAACUGCCAUUGAUACUGCAGGUCUUGAGUAAAUUUGAAGUGGCUGGAAUAAGUAGUGUAGCGGUGAAAUGCAUAGAUAUUACUUAGAACACCAAUUGCGAAGGCAGGUCACUAAGAUUUAACUGACGCUGAUGGACGAAAGCGUGGGGAGCGAACAGGAUUAGAUACCCCCGUAGUCCCUGUCUCUUAUAA